rnacentral:rRNA from 1 species
UACGUAGGGCGCAAGCGUUUGUCCGGAAUUAUUGGGCGUAAAGAGCUCGUAGGCGGCUUGUUGCGUCGGUUGUGAAAGCCCGGGGCUUAACCCCGGGUCUGCAGUCGAUACGGGCAGGCUAGAGUGUGGUAGGGGAGAUCGGAAUUCCUGGUGUAGCGGUGAAAUGCGCAGAUAUCGGGAGGAACACCAGUAGCGAAGGCGGCACUCUGGGCCGUGACUGACGCUGAGGAGCGAAAGCGUGGGUAGCAAACAGG